CGCCACUCAGCGAGCAGAUGGACCCGAAGAUCUUUCCGGCAAUGGUCUUUGGCACCAUGUCUCCGUACCUGUAGAUGAUGUGGAUUGUGUUCAGAAUAUGUGCACACUCAAACCUCAAUGGUGUUUAUAGACCACCCCGGGGCCAGUUUAAAACAGACAGACGGAUAUACUGGUCAUUGAAACUUCUCCACUCCUCCCAACUCAUCAGUACAGCACUAAUACGAGCCGUUUUUCUCAGAGGAUAACAAAUACGUGACUUCUUUGUCAGAAGCGCGGAAGGAACAGCAUGCGCUGGGCAGAUGAUGUGAUGAAAAUCAAAUCAAAUGAGAGAAGAAGAAGAAGAAGAAGAAGAAGAAGAAGAAGAAGAAGGAAGAGGAAGAGGCACUGUGGAGCCAAAGAAAUCCCGGGAGACGGAAAGGAAGCAGCAGCAGAGUCACACUUUGUUACAACGGCGAUGAAGAUCAUCAACUAUCGCUGUCGCAAGGGCAACCAAAGGACGAUGAAAUGUUUGUGUUAUUGUUGCCUUGACAGGUGUAAAGAGCUCACACUGUAAUUUGUCAUUUUUAUUUAUUUCAGCAAGAUUGAUGACUUGAACGCCAGAACGUGAAAAUCCGCUGUAAACAUAUCAAGGAGCACAGUUACUGGACCUGCAAGUCAUCAAUCACCCGUACACACACAGCAGUUUACCUCUUAAGCCUUACUUCAAUAACAUAUUCAUUUUCCUUCAGAAUACUUUUUAAAAAAAAAAAAACAGGCGGGACGUCACAUUUGUGUCUCGUUACCUUUAGAUGCAUGAGUGACUGGAAUCUACAGUUUUCCAUCGGUGGGUCAAAAAUGGGUCAAUUAUUUCUAAUUGACAGUGCAGAAAAUGCACAAACAUAAAUUGAUCAUGAUUUACUUGCUGGUUUGGGCCGUAACGUCAGAAAAUAGGCAAAAAUGUUGAUCAUUAUUUCCAAAGUAAAAAAAAUAAAAAUAAUAAUUUGCAUAUCUAUUUUGCGUAUCAUAUUAGCAUGUUUAUUUUGAUGAAACAAAGUUAUUAUUAUGAUAAAUAUAAUGAUGAAUAUUUACUUUUGGAAGGCUGAAUUUGGGCUAUUUGAAGUUAAACAAGGUCUCUAAAUGAAUAGUCAAUAAUCAAAAAUUGUUGAUUAGUCGAUUAAUCAUAGCAGCUCUUAACACAACACUUCUGUUUUUUUUUUUUCAAUUCGUGGCAAUUCCAUGUCAAAGAAGUAAUUAAAUAGGAACACAGA